GCCAGCAUGCCAUAUAACCCUGCAACUCACAACUGGCAACCCACUGAAGCUAAGCAGGUGUGAGCCUGGUCAGUACCUGGAUGGGAGACCUCCAGGGAAAAACUAGGUUGUUGCUAGAA
rnacentral:rRNA from 1 species